rnacentral:rRNA from 1 species
UACGUAGGGUGCGAGCGUUGUCCGGAAUUAUUGGGCGUAAAGGGCUCGUAGGCGGUCUGUCACGUCGGGAGUGAAAACACGGGGCUUAACCCCGUGCCUGCUUCCGAUACGGGCAGACUAGAGGUAUGCAGGGGAGAACGGAAUUCCUGGUGUAGCGGUGAAAUGCGCGGAUAUCAGGAGGAACACCGAUGGCGAAGGCAGGUCUCUGGGCAACAACUGACGCUGAGGAGCGAAAGCGUGGGGAGCGAACAGG